UACAGAGGGUGCGAGCGUUAAUCGGAUUUACUGGGCGUAAAGCGUGCGCAGGCGGUUUUGUAAGACAGAGGUGAAAUCCCACGGCUCAACCUGGGAACUGCCAUUGUGACUGCAAGGCUGGAGUGCGGCAGAGGGGGAUGGAAUUCCGGGUGUAGCAGUGAAAUGCGUAGAUAUGCGGAGGAACACCGAUGGCGAAGGCAAUCCCCUGGGCCUGCACUGACGCUCAUGCACGAAAGCGUGGGGAGCAAACAGG
rnacentral:rRNA from 1 species